UACGUAGGGUGCAAGCGUUGUCCGGAAUUAUUGGGCGUAAAGAGCUCGUAGGCGGUUUGUUGCGUCGGCUGUGAAAUCCCGAGGCUCAACCUCGGGUCUGCAGUCGAUACGAGCAAACUAGAGUGUUGCAGGGGAGACUGGAAUUCCUGGUGUAGCGGUGAAAUGCGCAGAUAUCAGGAGGAACACCGGUGGCGAAGGCGGGUCUCUGGACCACAACUGACGCUGAGGCGCGAAAGCUAGGGGAGCAAACAGG
rnacentral:rRNA from 1 species